UACGUAGGGGGCAAGCGUUGUCCGGAUUUAUUGGGCGUAAAGCGCUCGCAGGUGGUUCAUUGCGUCGUGCGUGAAAGACCCCGGCUCAACUGGGGAGGGUCGUGCGAAACGGGUGAACUAGAGGCCAGUAGGGGGAUGCGGAAUUCCGGGUGUAGUGGUGGAAUGCGUAGAGAUCCGGAGGAACACCAGCGGCGAAGGCGGCAUCCUGGACUGGCCCUGACACUCAGGAGCGAAAGCGUGGGGAGCGAUCCGG
rnacentral:rRNA from 1 species